AGGUGUUGUUGGGUAGGGGAGCGUUCUGUAAGCCGUCGAAGGUGGCCUGUGAGGGUUGCUGGAGGUAUCAGAAGUGCGAAUGCUGACAUAAGUAACGAUAAUGCGGGUGAAAAACCCGCACGCCGGAAGACCAAGGGUUCCUGUCCAACGUUAAUCGGGGCAGGGUGAGUCGACCCCUAAGGCGAGGCUGAAAAGCGUAGUCGAUGGGAAACAGGUUAAUAUUCCUGUACUCGGUGUUACUGCGAAGGGGGGACGGAGAAAGCUAGGUUAUCCGGGCGACGGUUGUCCCGGUUUAAGCGUGAAGGUGGAUGACUUUGGUAAAUCCGGGUCGUCAUUAACACUGAGGCGUGAUGACGAGUCACUACGGUGAUGAAGUAACCAAUGCUACGCUUCCAGGAAAAGCCUCUAAGCUCCAGGUAACAUCAAAUCGUACCCCAAACCGACACAGGUGGUCAGGUAGAGAAUACUCAGGCGCUUGAGAGAACUCGGGUGAAGGAACUAGGCAAAAUGGUGCCGUAACUUCGGGAGAAGGCACGCUGAUGGUAGGUGAAGUGACUUGCUCA
rnacentral:rRNA from 1 species